GGCCCCAUCGUCUAGUGGCUUAGGACGUCAGGUUCUCAUCCUGAAAACUCGGGUUCGACUCCCGGUGGGGUCA
rnacentral:tRNA from 1 species